rnacentral:rRNA from 1 species
GACGAACGCUGGCGGCGCGCCUAACACAUGCAAGUCGAACGGAGCUGAGAGGAGCUUGCUUUUCUCAGCUUAGUGGCGAACGGGUGAGUAACGCGUGAGUAACCUGCCCUGGAGUGGGGGACAACAGUUGGAAACGACUGCUAAUACCGCAUAAGCCCACGGCCCGGCAUCGGGCUGCGGGAAAAGGAUUUAUUCGCUUCAGGAUGGACUCGCGUCCAAUUAGCUAGUUGGUGAGGUAACGGCCCACCAAGGCGACGAUUGGUAGCCGGACUGAGAGGUUGAACGGCCACAUUGGGACUGAGACACGGCCCAGACUCCUACGGGAGGCAGCAGUGGGGGAUAUUGCACAAUGGGGGAAACCCUGAUGCAGCGACGCCGCGUGGAGGAAGAAGGUUUUCGGAUUGUAAACUCCUGUCGUUAGGGACGAUAAUGACGGUACCUAACAAGAAAGCACCGGCU